rnacentral:ribozyme from 12 species
AAAAAAAAAAAAAAAAAGCGGGCUGGUUGGUUUUUGUAUUGCGUAAUUUUUCGGGUGUUUUGGUACGUUUAUUUUUUUAUUUUUGUCUUUUUUUUCGUUCAUCUUUCUUUCUUUCUUCUUCUUCUUUAAAAGUAACAACAAGAAGGACUCCCCCAAACAAAAGAAACAACAAGGCAAUAGUAGCCGAAAAACAACAAGAAAAAAAAAAACUAAAACACUUGUUU